rnacentral:rRNA from 1 species
GCAAAACGCGAAGAACCUUACCUAGGCUUGACAUGCAUCUCUAAGCGCGUGAAAGCGCGUGACCCUUCCGGGGGAUUUGCACAGGUGCUGCAUGGCCGUCGUCAGCUCGUGUCGUGAGAUGUUGGGUUAAGUCCCGCAACGAGCGCAACCCUUGUGAACAGUUGCCAGCACUUAAGGUGGGAACUCUGUUCAGACUGCCCAGAUCAACUGGGAGGAAGGUGGGGACGACGUCAGGUCAGUAUGGCCCUUACGCCUAGGGCUGCACACGUACUACAAUGCCCAGCACAAUGAGAACCGAGACCGCGAGGUGGAGGAAAUCUAAAAACUGGGCCCAGUUCGGAUUGGAGGCUGCAACUCGCCUCCAUGAAGUUGGAAUCGCUAGUAAUGGCGCAUCAGCUACGGCGCCGUGAAUACGUUCCCGGGUCUUGUACACACCG